GCCCGGGUGGCGGAAUUGGCAGACGCGUACGUUUGAGGGGCGUAUGGGGUAACCCGUACCGGUUCAAGUCCGGUCCCGGGCACCA
rnacentral:tRNA from 1 species